rnacentral:rRNA from 1 species
CAGUCGCCGCGGUAAUACGAAGGGUGCAAGCGUUAAUCGGAAUUACUGGGCGUAAAGCGUGCGUAGGCGGUGAGUUAAGUCUGCUGUGAAAUCCCCGAGCUUAACUCGGGAACUGCAUUUGAAACUGGCAGGCUAGAGUCUCGUAGAGGGGGGUAGAAUUCCAGGUGUAGCGGUGAAGUGCGUAGAGAUCGGGAGGAACAUCAGUGGCGAAGGCGGCCAUCUGGGACAACACUGACGCUGAGGCACGAAAGCGUGGGGAGCAAACAGGAUUAGAUACCCGCGUAGUCCCUGUCUCUUAUAA